rnacentral:lncRNA from 1 species
UUCAACAUUCUCGUCAUAUCUUAUUUCAUGACUUUUUGCCGUUUGAAGGUUUUACGUAUAGUUUGUUUUUGAAACGGAACAUUUACAUAACACUAGGUAAACAAGUUAUACAACAUUAGUAUGCCUGUUGUGAUUGUGAUGAUCAAACUUGAGAAACAGUCAUCCGACCGUCAGAUCUGACCAUCAUGAUAAAAUACAUGUAUGGGAAAAAAUUCAACUUGAUCCGAAAAGAAUAAGGGCUCGAUCCGGACGGUCAAUCUCGUAAGUCAAACCCCUAAACGCACGGAAAAGGUCGUUCGACCGUCUAAAUUACGUAUUUUGGCCGGACCUCCAACUGAAAAUAGUUUUAAACCGAUGACACGCAACAAGUCGUAUAAAAAUUUUACGUAAAAUAACCACCGAAUAUAGGACUAUAGUAGGUAAUAGAAAAAUUUUAGGGUUUAGCCGACGAAUACCCUAACGUAUUCGUCGGCUAUAGUAUGUAAUUAAAAAUUAAAAAAUCACUAUAGCCGACGAAAUAUUAGGUUAUUCGUCGGCUAAAGUAUUUUAGCCGACGAACUAUACUGUAUUUCGUCGGCUAUAGUAUGUAAUUAAAAAUUAAAAAUAACUAUAGCCGACGAAAUAUUAGGUUAUUCAUCGGCUAAAGUAUUUUAGCCGACGAAUUAUAAUGUAUUUCGUCGGCUAUAGUAUGUAAUUAAAAAUUAAAAUAACUAUAGCCGACGAAAUAUUAGGUUAUUCGUCGGUAAAAACCAUCUUAGCCGACGAAAUAUAGUAUAUUUCGUCGGCUAAUAGGGGUUUAGCCGACGAAAUAUGGUGUAUUUCGUCGGCUAAAUGAAAAAAUACAUUAAAAAACAGACGAUAUUAGUAAACCAUACUUAAAUUUCCUGUUCAUCAUGUAUCACCAAAAUUCAUAUAAAAUAACUGAAAUAUGAAUUCAACAUGUGUAAACUAUAAAGGAAAAGGUCUUUAAUUAGUUAUACAAUGCAAAUUAAUGGAUUUCGUCCUCUAAAUUAAAACUAAGGCUCGUAAUCGGAAUCAUCCGAUGAGUCUUCUUCGGUGUCAGAAUUAAUUUCUGGUAAUAUAUGUCUUUCCUCGUCGCCAGAAUCUUCGUCUGUUUCGUGAUUUGGAUCAACAUCAAUAAGCCUUGGCUCUUCAUCACGAAUUCGCACCGAACGACCCGCUUUAAAAUUAUUAAGGCGAACGGUAGAGGAGUUAGGAAUACCUAUUGCGUUGGGCUCUUGAUACGCAACAUCCUCUUCCUCGUCUUCGGCCUCUCCAAGUGUAGCCGCCCGGUAAAUGUUUCGAGGGUGCACAAGGUUGACUA